UACAGAGGUCUCAAGCGUUGUCCGGAUUCAUUGGGCGUAAAGGGUGCGUAGGUGGCGCCGUAAGUCGGGUGUGAAAUUUCGGAGCUUAACUCCGAAACUGCAUUCGAUACUGCGGUGCUUGAGGACUGGAGAGGAGACUGGAAUUCAUGGUGUAGCAGUGAAAUGCGUAGAGAUCAUGAGGAAGACCAGUGGCGAAGGCGGGUCCCUGGACAGUUCCUGACACUGAGGCACGAAGGCCAGGGGAGCAAACGGG
rnacentral:rRNA from 1 species